AAACACAGUCCCCACCCCCAAAGGCACAGGUAGGAAGACAAGCCAUCGGGCACCCUCACUGUCAUGUGCCAUGUAAAUCCCAGCAGGAGGCUCCAUGGAGGCUUUCCUGAGAAAAAUAGCUAAAUAGAGAAUGUAGGAACAAGAAAUGAUGACUCAGGUGAAGGAGCCAAGAAAGGAGGGGGAGAAAAAAAGGCCUUCUGGGCAGAACGUAUGCAAAGGUCCAGAGAUGAAAGAGUGUGACAUCUUUCUGCAAACAGUUGAGCAAGACCAUGGAGGCAAAAAGAUGAGAGAGACAUCUCAGCAGUAAGGAACCUGUGGCAAGUCAUACAAGAGGCUGUUGAAAACAGAAUGUGAAAUAGAAGUGAUGCCAGACUUUCAAGUCAAAAUCGCUCCUUGGUUUCUCCAGCAAAUCCUCCAGCAAAUCGACUAAAGACUCAAAAGUAACAUCCAAGAGAAAAGUAAAUGGAUAUGAUUUUACAAACAUUUGUAUGACAGAUAAGGGAGUUACGAAUGCAUCAGAGAAUACAGUAAAAAGGCAUGUUCUCCACAAGACAUGAAACAGUGUUUCUACUCUUUUUCUUUCUUUCUUUCUUUCUUUCUUUCUUUCUUUCUUUCUUUCUUUUUUUUUUGCUUCAGACAACACUUUGUUCUAAUCAAGCAUGUUCAGUAAACGUUUAUGUAUUUGUGAAUCAGGCACGGAGGAAGAAGGUGGAAAGAGAAAUUCCUAAUCUCCCAGGGUGGAAAUUGUGAAGUAUUAAAUGGAUAUCCGAUGCAUAAAUACAAAUAACAUAAUCUCUCUAUUUUCUUCUGAGACAGUCACCAGUUACAAUAAUCCUAAAAUUAUCCCAUCUUCUCAAAUCCCUCAAGAUUUAUUAAUUUUCAUAAACUGCUUUGAUGGAAACUUUCUUAAAAGAUGCAAAGUAACCUUUCUCGAGCUCUCCUUUUACUUCAGAUCAUGGACAGCAUUUUCAACCUCAGAAUACCAAAAGAAGAUUGCCCAUAUCCUGGAAAAUGCUCCUGCCUGGACAGGAAACAUGGGAGAAAUCCCUUGCUGAGACAUCAAGAUGGCUCCAGGUGAAAAUGGAUGGAGCUGACCAUGGGAAAUAUACUGGAAAUUCUUAAAGCAUUAUAUGGAAUCAUCUCUACAGAUAGCCCUUCAUCAAAAAACCUGAAAACAUUAACAGACUGUGGGUAGCGCAUCUGUUUAAAUUCAAGAAUAAAGAAGACUGUGUCAGCCUCA